UUUUCGGAGAGUUUGAUCCUGGCUCAGGACGAACGCUGGCGGCGUGCCUAAUACAUGCAAGUCGAGCGGACAGAAGGGAGCUUGCUCCCGGAUGUUAGCGGCGGACGGGUGAGUAACACGUGGGUAACCUGCCUGUAAGACUGGGAUAACUCCGGGAAACCGGAGCUAAUACCGGAUAGUUCCUUGAACCGCAUGGUUCAAGGAUGAAAGACGGUUUCGGCUGUCACUUACAGAUGGACCCGCGGCGCAUUAGCUAGUUGGUGRGGUAAUGGCUCACCAAGGCGACGAUGCGUAGCCGACCUGAGAGGGUGAUCGGCCACACUGGGACUGAGACACGGCCCAGACUCCUACGGGAGGCAGCAGUAGGGAAUCUUCCGCAAUGGACGAAAGUCUGACGGAGCAACGCCGCGUGAGUGAUGAAGGUUUUCGGAUCGUAAAGCUCUGUUGUUAGGGAAGAACAAGUGCGAGAGUAACUGCUCGCACCUUGACGGUACCUAACCAGAAAGCCACGGCUAACUACGUGCCAGCAGCCGCGGUAAUACGUAGGUGGCAAGCGUUGUCCGGAAUUAUUGGGCGUAAAGGGCUCGCAGGCGGUUUCUUAAGUCUGAUGUGAAAGCCCCCGGCUCAACCGGGGAGGGUCAUUGGAAACUGGGAAACUUGAGUGCAGAAGAG
rnacentral:rRNA from 1 species